AAGCAGAACUGACUGUACUGGCACAUACAGUCUCUUUUAUUCACAAUCCACAAACAUAGUACUGCCCACAGGGUUUUGAAAUACAACCAAUCAAUCCAUACAAUACACACAGACACUCCCACACAAAAUCCUCCCCUCUGCCUGUGAUAUGAUUACUGAACACAAUGGUUUAUCUAAUUAUCAGAGAAAUACAGUAUCAUAAAACACAUCACAGGGACCUCAAAACAUGCAAUAACCCCAUAAAAAGUAAAUCCUCGGAACC